ACUCGGCUAGCUCAGGUGGUAGAGCAUGGGACUCUUGAUCGCACAGUUGGGGUUUGACCCCCAUGCUGGACC